CUAAGCAUGAAGCCCCCCUCAAGAUGAGAUUUCCCUUGGAGUUAAUCCAGUAAGACCCCUUAAAGAUGAUGAGGUUGAUAGGUCUCGGGUGGAAGCACGGUGACGUGUGGAGCUGAGAGAUACUAAUCGGUCGAGGACUUAUCCUAAA
rnacentral:rRNA from 1 species